rnacentral:tRNA from 1 species
ACCUGGGUGGCUCAGUCAGUUGAGCGUCUGACUUCGGCUCAGGUCAUGAUCUCAUGGUUCAUGGGUUUGAGCCCCAUGUCAGGCU